CGUAUUAUCCACAGGGAAUCUUUGUGGAGGACAUCGAAGCCCCAAUACAACAACACAGAUAUGAUAUGAGUGCCACCCAUGCACACAUAGAUGCAGUCAAUUGCACACGGCAGAGGCAUCCCACCAAUGAUGGUUUUUGCUUUGCUCCACUGAUUCAUUCCACUCAAGCUCAUCCCUUCUCCUCCUCCCUCAGUGAAAGAGAGACAGUAGUAAGGGUGGGCAUGGACAGCAGUGCAUCUUGGAAGGGUGUUUUUGCACACAUGAUUAUUAGCUAGUAGCUGCCCAGGGAAGAAGCAGAGGCAGCAGCAUCAUUCUCUUUCCCUCCCCACUCCCAACUUUCACCAGACCCCUACUCUACUCUCUGGUACUCCAUUUGCAAUAGGAAUUCAUUAUUGUUGCAAUGGCAGAUGCACUCAAUAAAUGGAAUCAUGCUGAUUUUGUGCCAUUGCCAGCCAGAUGCUACCACAGAUGCAUCCCCCACCACAAUUGCAUCAAAUGGGGAGGAGGCCGCUAGCUGAUGGUGCAUGUGGUUACAGCAGGGGGCAUUUACCAGCUGGAAUUAGUCGAUGCAUGCAUGUAGUACAAUUGUUAGGAGUGUUAUUUGUAGUUUCACAUGCAAGGCAUUGGCACCCCUCUUCAUGUGAUAGCAUUGGUUUGUGCAUGCCCCACUUUAUUUGCUCUCACAUUAAUUUGUUACUGUGGUGUGUCUAGUGUGUAUGUGUAAUUCAGUCUCUCUUUUUUUUUCUAAAUAAGAGAUUUUUUUAUCUAAGUCUAGUAGUGAAAUUCCUAAUAUCCUAAAAAAGGCCAUCCAGUAUCUUUCAGCUGUGAUGGGAGCUUAACAAGUCAAGACUACUGACUCAACAAUAAAGAGGUAACAGGCAAUUUGUUUGACAAACCAAUGCAGCAGCCAAGACAAGCAUAACAGGAUAAACCUCUUUGGGACCAUCCAGUGUCAUGACUUUGGGAAAAGAAUUAGGACAAUCACCGCAUUGAGAGCGGCAUUUCGACGCAGUGUGUGCUUUGAUAUUUAUCAGAAAAGGAAAGCAAAGUUAGGUUUAUCUCCAUUGGCUAAGGUCCAAGUGUUUGGGCGUUAACAUCAGUCCAAAAUUUUGAUUACCAGUGUUGUUGUGU
rnacentral:lncRNA from 1 species